UGAACGCUGGCGGCGUGCCUAAUACAUGCACGUCGCGCGACCGGACGAGAAGCUUGCUUCUCUGAUGUUAGCGGCGGACGGGUGAGUAACACGUGGAUAACCUACCUAUAAGACUGGGAUAACUUCGGGAAACCGGAGCUAAUACCGGAUAAUAUUUUGAACCGCAUGGUUCAAAAGUGAAAGACGGUCUUGCUGUCACUUAUAGAUGGAUCCGCGCUGCAUUAGCUAGUUGGUAAGGUAACGGCUUACCAAGGCAACGAUGCAUAGCCGACCUGAGAGGGUGAUCGGCCACACUGGAACUGAGACACGGUCCAGACUCCUACGGGAGGCAGCAGUAGGGAAUCUUCCGCAAUGGGCGAAAGCCUGACGGAGCAACGCCGCGUGAGUGAUGAAGGUCUUCGGAUCGUAAAACUCUGUUAUUAGGGAAGAACAUAUGUGUAAGUAACUGUGCACAUCUUGACGGUACCUAAUCAGAAAGCCACGGCUAACUACGUG
rnacentral:rRNA from 1 species